rnacentral:rRNA from 1 species
UACGGAGGGGGCUAGCGUUGUUCGGAAUUACUGGGCGUAAAGCGCGCGUAGGCGGCUUUGUAAGUUAGAGGUGAAAGCCCGGUGCUCAACUCCGGAAUUGCCUUUAAGACUGCAUCGCUAGAAUCAUGGAGAGGUGAGUGGAAUUCCGAGUGUAGAGGUGAAAUUCGUAGAUAUUAGGAAGAACACCGGUGGCGAAGGCGGCCCACUGGAUCGGUACUGACGCUGAGGUGCGAAAGCGUGGGGAGC